AUUGAACGCUGGCGGUAUGCUUAAGACAUGCAAGUCGAACGGUAACAGACCUUCGGGUGCUGACGAGUGGCGGACGGGUGAGUAACACGUGGGAAUCUACCUUGUAGUGGGGGAUAAGCUAGGGAAACUUGGACUAAUACCGCAUACGCCCUAAGGGGGAAAGGAGCAAUUCGCUAUAAGAUGAGCCCGCGUCUGAUUAGCUAGUUGGUGAGGUAAAGGCUCACCAAGGCGACGAUCAGUAGCUGGUCUGAGAGGAUGGCCAGCCACAUUGGGACUGAGACACGGCCCAGACUCCUACGGGAGGCAGCAGUCGGGAAUAUUGGACAAUGGGGGCAACCCUGAUCCAGCAAUACCGCGUGUGUGAAGAAGGCCUGCGGGUUGUAAAGCACUUUUAGUAGGGAAGAUAAUGACGUUACCUACAGAAAAGCACCGGCUAACUCCGUG
rnacentral:rRNA from 1 species